GGCAGAGGGUGCAAACGUUGUUCGGAAUUACUGGGCGUAAAGCGAGUGUAGGCGGUUUCCUAAGUCAGGUGUGAAAGCCCCGGGCUCAACCCGGGAAGUGCACUUGAAACUGGGGGGCUAGAGUAUCGGAGAGGUUGGUGGAAUUCUCGGUGUAGAGGUGAAAUUCGUAGAUAUCGAGAGGAACACCGGUGGCGAAGGCGGCCAACUGGACGAAUACUGACGCUGAGACUCGAAAGCGUGGGGAGCAAACAGG
rnacentral:rRNA from 1 species